GCUCUCGUAGUUUAACGGAUAGAACAGAGGUUUCCUAAACCUCCAAUCCAGGUUCGAUUCCUGGCGAGGGCA
rnacentral:tRNA from 1 species